GGCUCCACCCAGUUCGAGCUUCCCGGCUGCUUUGUUUACCUAAGCAAGCCUGGGCAAUGGCGUUUGGUCAUGGAUGGACAGUGAGAGCUCUUGAUUGGGCCUGGAUUUCUUCUGCUGCAGGGGUGAAUUGCUCGUCUGUUAGCCAGCCGCCCUCCAGCUCCAGAGUGUGGCCUCAGAACUCCCUGGAUGACGCCUCACCUCCUGGCCAGAUGGUGAAUGGGGCUCUGUGUGGAGGGGAUGCAGUCUGGGCAGAGCAGGCAAAGCCGGGAGG
rnacentral:lncRNA from 1 species